AAAGUCGAAAAUUGCAAUUUGUAAAGAUGAGCUCACCAACUCGGAGACCAAGUUCCAAAUAUUCACACCACCUCUUCUCACCACUAUAUAUAGAGAGAAAGUAAGUGAAUAAGUGAAGAGAGAAAAAGUGAUAAACAAUGAAUACUAGUUGCAGCAAAAGGGGAAGAGGGGAUAAAGAUGCACCAACACCAAGGAAAGAGGCGAAAUUGGAUGCGACAAACGCGGCGGCGGAGAAGAAGAAGGUGCUGCGGUGGAUGAGGAAAUGGCAUGGGCUAAUUGUUGGUUUCCAAGUCAUGCUUAUGAGUCUCUCUAUGGAGAUGUUUGGGAUUAUGAUAUUUGGGGCUUCAAAGAGUGAGUACAGGGCAGUUACAUGACUACGAUCGAAAGUGCAAUUAGAGGGGAAGAUCGGAGGCGCCGCCAUGGCGUGGAUCCCCACCUUGAACCACAAAGCAUCCAUUAUCGAAUUUUGUUGCCGUUUGAUCUUCUAAAUAAAUCUUGCUCUGUAAAUAGGACUAGUGUACAAGAUUAUUUGUGUCUGUGUAUGUAUAUAUUCGUCGGAGACUGAUAACGUCAGCCACAAUCUUUGCUCUCAAGAGGUUAGAGAGAGUGCAGCUAAAAAAAUACAGAUACUGACGACCAAA